AUAACUAUGAUAUUAGACACGGAACGCCCUUCAUAUCACGGAAUGCGAGAAGGGUAUUGCUGCAGACCGGAGACAAUAUGGGCAGAUCUGAAGGCGGGAUAACUGUAAAUGGAAGUGGAUAGUAUUGGCUAAUUCAGAAUUUCAACGAAUGAGAUUGUUGUUAAAGUAUGACAAUCAAAAACUCACUCAACGUUUGAAGUUGUCUAUCAAGUGUAACUUCCACCAAUCUUUUCACAGUUAGUGAUCCCUACCGCUUUGAGGUUCCGCCUCAUAGACUUUCUUUUGAAAUAGCAGCAGCGAAGAAACUCUAUUAGACCAAAGAAGAAGCGACGAAACGAAUUGUUUGUUAUUUCUGACAAUGGAAGAUCAUAUCACAAUCAAAAAUACCACAGAUCACAGAUUUAAUCUUCAGAUGUGUUUUUGUGCCCUUUCUGUCAUCCGCGACUGUAUUCUUCACGCUCGUAUAUACGAGCAAAUGAACACUUGCGAGAUCACCGCAGAACAGCAGUUUCCUAUGGAGUCAGGACCAAGAAGAUCAUGGCAGCAGUGAACUCGUUGAGGAAUAUACUGAUACAGCCACACCAAGGUAUUAAUGUAGAACUUAGUCUACCACUGUGGUUUGAUACUUGGUUCAACUUGAGUAAAAACCUUAAAAUUGAACAUGGUAUGAAGGAUUGUCAUAAGCUUUUUGACCCGUUGUCACAUGGGGAGUGUUAGAUUGGUUAUUUUGAUGGUUAGAAUAAAAAUAUCUUCAAAGCUUUUCUGUGACUUGCAUAUUACUUUAGCCAGUGUCCGGACUGGUGCAAUCAUAAUACUCUGAAGUAAUGGAUGUAUUCAGAAAAGCUAUUGAGAUCACAUCCAACAGGAGUUUUUGUAGUGAUCCACAGAGUACUCCUCACAGUUUCAACUGUCUUCCAAUGUGUCCACUUUUCCGAGAAAACACAACUGUUCAGACCAAAACCAGACAGCUUGCAUAAGACAAAUACUACAUGUGACAGUCUGAUGCAUUUAUUUGUGCGUGUCCACAGUGUAGGAGAGCAGGCUGGCUGUGUGGCUGCAGUAGGGCAGCUGACUGAAGAACAAGUGGCUCAGGUUUUUGCAGCUGCAGAGAUCAGCAGGGCCUACAGGAGGACUCAACAUGAAAAACUGUUAGAGUUCAUAAUAAAGGACCAUGGAGCAGAUGAUCACUUGCUGGCUGUUGUAUCUCAUAAGGUAUCGUCCAAAUGGUUAAAAAAUUAUGAAAAUCCUAAAGGUCACCUGGUAAUGACUUAUAUAGAAGAUGAGGAGCUGAUAGAUGGCUUCUACAACUUCUUGGAUGAAGAGCUGUAAGCACUUUUGAGAGGAUUGACAGAGUUUGCAUCAUUCUGGAUGUGCUGAUGCCAGAGCUAUACAAACAGUUGAGAGGGCUUCUCUGCCAGAGGCAGAAAAUCUGUUCAUGGAUGGACCAGCAUACAGUGAGUGUGAGAGGGAAGAGUUUGACAAACUUGUUUUGCAACAGUUGGACGCACAAGGAAAGCACCACUGAGGCAUUUAAACUCAGGAUUACAUCUCAACUCUACUCAAAUAAAUGUGUCUCUUUCUUUACUUCUCUUUUGCCUUUUUAUUUCUGUGUGUUAAAAUGACUGUGCAAAAUAAAGUUGUAUAUAUUUAAUGUAACUAUUAAUGUAAAUAAUAAAGGACACUUUCUGUUAUUGUUAAAGAUUGUUGAUUAAGUUCUGUAUAUUUGAAAUUGCAUGUCUGUUUUUAGACAAUUGAUGUCAUCUGGAUUUUUUCUUUAAUUGUUAUAACUGCUUUGUACAGUUGUUAUGCAUUUUACAUUGUUGUUUUAUUUAUAUAUAAUAUAUAGAAGUGGGCAUGCUGUUGUUUUAAUACUUCAGUAUAUUCCUUGAUCAGUCUGUUUGUUAAAUUUAAUCUUUGUGCAUUCUUUCUUUCAAUUCAAUUGACCAAUCAUUAUUGAUAA